CCCUUAGAUGUUCUGGGCCGCACGCGUGCUACACUGGUGAAUACAGCGAGUGUCCAUUCCCUUGACCGAAAGGUCUGGGUAAUCUUAAGAAAGUUCAUCGUGACAGGGAUUGAUCAUUGCAAUUAUUGAUCAUGAACGAGGAAUUCCUAGUAAAGGCGAGUCAUCAUCUCGCUUUGAUUACGUCCCUGCCCUUUGUACACACCGCCCGUCGCUACUACCGAUUGAAUGGUUUAGUGAGAUCUCCGGAUUGGCGGCCUUGGUACCUUCACGGGUCCAACGGUUCUGCCGAGAAGCUGCUCGAACUUGAUCAUUUAGAGGAAGUAAAAGUCGUAACA
rnacentral:rRNA from 1 species